UACAGAGGUCUCAAGCGUUGUUCGGAUUCACUGGGCGUAAAGGGUGCGUAGGUGGUGAGGUAAGUCGGAUGUGAAAUCUCCGGGCUCAACCCGGAAAUGGCAUUGGAAACUACCUUGCUGGAGGAUUUGAGGGGGGAUUGGAAUACUUGGUGUAGCAGUGAAAUGCGUAGAUAUCAGGAGGAACACCGGUGGCGAAGGCGGGUCUCUGGGCCGAUACUGACGCUGAGGAGCGAAAGCGUGGGGAGCGAACAGG
rnacentral:rRNA from 1 species